AUGUUGACCUCGGAUCAGGUAGGGAUACCCGCUGAACUUAAGCAUAUCAAUAAGCGG
rnacentral:rRNA from 1 species